ensembl:rRNA 5S_rRNA 5S ribosomal RNA
GACAGCAGCCAUAUCACCCUGCAACUCACAUCAGGCAACCCACUGAAGCUAAGCAGGUGUGAGCCUGGUCAGUACCUGGAUGGGAGACCUCCUGGGAAAAACUAAGGUUGCUGCUGGAA